rnacentral:tRNA from 1 species
GGGGUCAUAGUUAAAUAUUUUAAAACAUUUAAUUUGCAAUUAAAAGAUACUAAAUUUAUAGUUGUCCUCA